rnacentral:rRNA from 1 species
UGCCGCGUGUGUGAAGAAGGCUCUAGGGUUGUAAAGCACUUUNAGUAGGGAGGAAAAGUUAGUAGUUAAUAACUGCUAGCCCUGACGUUACCUACAGAAGAAGCACCGGCAAACUCCGUGCCAGCAGCCGCGGUAAUACGGAGGGUGCGAGCGUUAAUCGGAAUUACUGGGCGUAAAGCGCGCGUAGGCGGUUUGAUAAGCUGGAUGUGAAAGCCCCGGGCUCAACCUGGGAACUGCAUCCAGAACUGUCUGACUAGAAUACAAUAGAGGUGAGUGGAAUUUCCUGUGUAGCGGUGAAAUGCGUAGAUAUAGGAAGGAACAUCAGUGGCGAAGGCGACUCACUGGAUUGAUAUUGACGCUAAGGUGCGAAAGCGUGGGGAGCGAACAGGAUUAGAUACCCUGGUAGUCCACGCCGUAAACGAUGUCUACUAGCCGUUGGGAUCCUUGAGGUCUUAGUGGCGCAGCUAACGCAAUAAGUAGACCGCCUGGGGAGUACGGCCGCAAGGUUAAAACUCAAAUGAAUUGACGGGGGCCCGCACAAGCGGUGGAGCAUGUGGUUUAAUUCGAUGCAACGCGAAGAACCUUACCAGGUCUUGACAUCCCGAGAAGUCGCUAGAGAUAGCUUCGUGCCUUCGGGAACUCGGUGACAGGUGCUGCAUGGCUGUCGUCA